CACACACUCUGGACUGCAACAUCCCUUGGCUUCCCUGCGCAGACCCCUCCUCCACAAAGCAUACGUAGUUACAAUGACAUAAAUAAGAAGAUAAUUCCCAAUGACACCAACAAAAACUACUAGGGAGUAGCAGGGGAUGAUGAGUGGCUUGAAGGACUGAACAAACUGGAGCCCUGAGAAUAAAUUGCUGGCGUUGCUAUGAAUUGCAGAGAGGAAGCUCUGGGAGGUUAAAUUGUCCGAAUUCAUCAUUUCCCUCCUUUUGUCGUCUGCCAUCAGCUAAGUGAAGUAGUUACCACUGCACUGCUCUCGCACUCAAUCAGUGAGGAUAAUGAAUGGAUUACUGGCUGUGCAGAGGUUGCCACAUGGAUAGUAAACAAGCAUCUGUAAAAGCAAAAGGAGAAGUUGUAAUCCUCGAGAGGCAGCUUUCAGCAGUUCCUAGGAAAAAUCAAAUACAGCCAAUUUCCAUUAAAGUCUUCCUGUAUUUACCAUUAAAUCCAGGUUUUGACAGCAUACCACUUAAUAAACAUUUAAUGCAGGGAGUACUUACUGCAGUGUUUUUCUAAUCCCAUAUGAUUUUCCUGUAGAUGCCAAGGAGUGCCCUAGAUGUCUGGCUUCUGCA
rnacentral:lncRNA from 1 species